UUGGCUUUCCCCGUGUUAGCUGCAAACUUCUGCCAGGUAGAAGAGGCAGUGGCGGUGUCCGAGUGUGGCGGCAAGCCCCACAGCUCCGACUUCUCCACAAAGUCCGCAUCGACGUCCAGCUCCUUCUCGGCUGGGCCCUUCAGGAGCCUGGCCUUUUCAGCCUUUAGCUGUUUAUUUUCUUUCCUUAGUCUUUCGUUCUCCGCCACAAGGAACUCCACGUGCCUCUUCAACUCUGCAAUCUUGGUUGCCUGCUCCUCUAUAAUCGUCUUAUCAUCUUUUGGGGCCUUGCUUCCAAUACAGGGCUCUGACGGCUCAUUCUUUUGCUGAAGUAAAAAUAGCAACGUGUCUGGAUCCCUGUCAAAGACCCCCUGCACCUCAGGGAGGUGCUUCUCUGUGGAAGGGAUGUAUGUCUGAGAAAGAAGAGGGCUCUGGCCUUCCGAGUCCUCAGAGGGUCUGUGAGAUGCCUGCAGGUGGGGGACUCCAUCCCGGUCUGUCCUCUGCUGCGCUUUCAACCGCUCCUCUCGCUUCGCUCUCUUCCACCUCUCCUGGAUGAGGAGAAGCUGCUUCAUGUGGCU
rnacentral:lncRNA from 1 species